AAACUUUGCAAUGUGCGAAAGCACGACAAGGUUAAUCCGAGUGGUUUCUGCUAAAGGAACCUUUUGACAGUCCUAGAAACACUGUUGAAUAAGGGGUGGGCAAGUUCUGGUGUCAGCCGCCGCGGUAAAACCAGCACCUCAAGUGGUCAGGAUGAUUAUUGGGCCUAAAGCAUCCGUAGCCGGCUCUGUAAGUUUUCGGUUAAAUCUGUACGCUUAACGUACAGGCUGCUGGGAAUACUGCAGAGCUAGGGAGUGGGAGAGGUAGACGGUACUCGGGAGGAAGUGGUAAAAUGCUUUGAUCUCUCGAUGACCACCUGUGGCGAAGGCGGUCUACCAGAACACGUCCGACGGUGAGGGAUGAAAGCUGGGGGAGCAAACCGGAUUAGAUACCCGGGUAGUCCCAGCUGUAAACUAUGCAAACUCAGUGAUGCACUGGCUUUUGGCCAGUGCAGUGUUGCAGGGAAGCCGUUAAGUUUGCCGCCUGGGAAGUACGUACGCAAGUAUGAAACUUAA
rnacentral:rRNA from 1 species